UUGCACUGAUGAUUUGGAUUUUACUGACCUGGCAUUGCCGGCCUCCGGGUCGGCUCUGGCCAGGAAGUGAUCAUAAUUAAUCUUCUCUCUGAGCAG